GUAAGGAAUAUUGGACAAUGGACGCAAGUCUGAUCCAGCCAUGCCGCGUGAAGGAUUAAGGUCCUCUGGAUUGUAAACUUCUUUUAUAAGGGACGAAAAAAGGCUUUUCUAAGUCGUCUGACGGUACCUUAUGAAUAAGCACCGGCUAACUCCGUGCCAGCAGCCGCGGUAAUACGGAGGGUGCAAGCGUUAUCCGGAUUCACUGGGUUUAAAGGGUGCGUAGGCGGGCAGGUAAGUCAGUGGUGAAAUCCUAGAGCUUAACUCUAGAACUGCCAUUGAUACUAUCUGUCUUGAAUAUUGUGGAGGUAAGCGGAAUAUGUCAUGUAGCGGUGAAAUGCUUAGAUAUGACAUAGAACACCAAUUGCGAAGGCAGCUAGCUGGGCCUUGAUUGACGCUGAGGCACGAAAGCGUGGGUAGCGAACAGGAUUAGAUACCCCGGUAGUCC
rnacentral:rRNA from 1 species